UGACCUGAUCUCUUUGCAGGUGAAAAUUUAUAUUUUACUACGCAGAUGUAGAGUUGGCUUUUAUAUAAGGAAAUAAGAUUCGAGAAAUAAGCAACUUAAACACAGCAAUUGAAGAUUUCCAAGUCAGAUUUACCAACUUCAACAGAGAAUUGGCUUUUGUAGAAGGAAAUAUGAUUCGAGAGGGAUCGGACGGGAGAAAUAGAGAAGGACAGACGAUUGCUGCAGGAGGAGCAGGAGUCCUUGCGCGUGGACACCCUCCCGUUCUCCCAGGUGAUCCGGCUACCAUGUCAUGGAUUCAGGGUAGUGUGUGGGAUUUCCAGUAGAAGAGUAGCUACUCACAAGCUUGAUGCCGCAAAGGCAUCUUCCUACUCUUCUGAGAACUUCCACCAAUAAGCUCCACGCGCUCCUGCACCUUCUUAUGAGUCAAUAGAAGAGUAGCUACUCACCUUCCUACGUCUCUGUCAUGUAGUUUCUAACGAUCUUUUAUGUGCCAUGUCGGCAAGGCCACAAGGGUGAUUGAUAAAAAAUCCAAGCAGGCUCCAUGUGAGGUGAAUCAAGAAAUCAUCUCUACUUAAGUCCAAGAGGUCACCAGGUGAAGGGAUGGAUAAACUAUCAGGUUGCAUUAAUUUGGAGCUAUGAAACUGCCUAUUACAUUGGAACUUGGUGAAGAAGUCGUAUCUGAGUAUGUUGACAUUGGCAAAAGGUACAUGCCGCAUGCUGAGACAUAUAUUCGUUGUGUGAGACAGAGGUUAAAUGCUCUGUAAAUAAAGAGAGACAACAAGGAUUGGUGAGUUUAUAGUCCCACUUUUGUACCGUUUUUAUACAAUGACAACAAUGAGCGACAUAUGUACUUCUCAUCCAAUUAGUUUUCUAGCAUGUAAAUGUAAGUAUUUCUUCAUGCACGUGAGAAAGACAAAUAUUUGUUCCUACAUGUUUGAGGAUAUGUAUAACCAUACU
rnacentral:rRNA from 1 species